UGAUUCGGCUUGAUAUCCCCUUCCCAUGGUUUGGCCGUCGUUCCCUAUUCCCGGCGGCAAACGGCGGCCGUGAGUUUUCCAGCGAUGCGCAGCCACUGCUGCAGCCUGCAGGCAUGUCUCCAGUGGCGCACUGGCGCCUCCCCCUUCCCCUCGUUCCUCCGCCCGCUCCCUCCUCCUCCUCCUCCCGGCAGACCUCGUCGAUCCCGGAAUCCACCCUUGGCUUCGGAGCCCGGCCGGCCGGCGGACUUGCUCUGCUUGCAAUCUCCAGUUGCGGCGCGCUGUUCUUAUUCCCGGAGCUGCCGUCGGCCACGUGUUGGUGCUAGCUAGCCACUAGGACGGCGGCGGCCGCGGCGGCAUGGGUAGCCUCUGUGCUCCAUGCCAUGUCAGUGAGCUCUGAAUCCAACACGCACGGGAUCGAGUUGUGCGGAGUCAUUGAAUGUCUCAAUCGGUUUGUGACACUACUGGUUUUCAGAUAAAAACCAUAUGCAGACAGGGCAUUUUCUGCUCGAAGAAUCCAUGCGCGCGUUUUGAACUGAUACGUACUUGCUUUCUGUACCACACUCCAAGGAUCUCGAUGCUUUUCCUUCUCAAAGGCGAUGAUUGGCAGUCAGUGUGCAAACUACGCAGGAUCUAGAUGGUUAGAUAAAUGCACGAUGGAUUGCUCACGGAGAACCCCAUAUGAAAGAUUCAGAACUAGGAAGAGAAACUAGAUGAUUAUGUCCA